rnacentral:rRNA from 1 species
GUGAGGAAUAUUGCGCAAUGGAGGCAACUCUGACGCAGCCAUGCCGCGUGCAGGAAGAAGGCGCUACGCGUUGUAAACUGCUUUUAACCGGGAAGAAACCCCAGGACGUGUCCUGGGUUGACGGUACCGGAGGAAUAAGCACCGGCUAACUUCGUGCCAGCAGCCGCGGUAAUACGAAGGGUGCAAGCGUUAUCCGGAUUCAUUGGGUUUAAAGGGUGCGUAGGCGGAGCGUUAAGUCAGUGGUGAAAUCCUGCAGCUUAACUGUAGACUUGCCAUUGAUGCUGGCGCUCUUGAGUGCGCUUGAAGUGGGCGGAAUGUGCCGUGUAGCGGUGAAAUGCUUAGAUAUGGCACAGAACACCAAUUGCGAAGGCAGCUCACUAAGGCGAUACUGACGCUGAGGCACGAAAGCGUGGGGAUCGAACAGGAUUAGAUACCCCGGUAGUCC